rnacentral:lncRNA from 1 species
GUUUUCUGGAAGGGAAGGCUUGAGGCUAUUACUCUUCCCGUGACAACAACAUUUGCUCCCGUGUUCUGAGGAAAAUGGCCUUUCUGAAAACGAUUUAUCUCAAGGUCACCACCUUAGAAGCAGAGACAGAAAAUGGACCCCUCUGUCUGCAAUGGUAAAAUGGAAAUAAUAGAUCAUGGGAGGACCUCAUUCUGAGGAAUCCGCAGGCAGGGAGUCUCCUUUCCACCUUGACAUGAAUGUGCUCCGUGGGUCCUCAUAGACCUGGUGAGGACUCAAUGAAGUGACACCUGAAUGAGAGUAGCCAAGCCAGUCACUAACUAGAAAAGGAUCUGCGACUUGUUUUUUUACCAAAACGUUUAUGCACACUUCCCUUCAAGGAGGUACGGAACAAACAACAAACAAAUAAACAAACAAAAAUGGCAUUGCUGUCCAUCUGCUCCCAACAGCUCCUCAGCUAGACUGUCCCUUAUAUGUGAGCUUCACCGAGUCUGGGAUGGUCAGACUGGAAGAACGAAUGACACCAGUCAGAGAUUCUCUGGAGUACAGGGACUAGAAAUGGUGCGAACACAUAGAACAGUCUUCCUCCAAAUACAUGCCUUGAAGAAGCCUGGUUUGCCCAAAGAUAUGGAUACUGAGGACCCAAUUGUUU